rnacentral:rRNA from 1 species
UACAGAGGGGGCAAGCGUUGUUCGGAAUUAUAGGGCGUAAAGAGCUCGUAGGCGGUGUGUCGCGUCUGCCGUGAAAGUCCGGGGCUCAACUCCGGAUCUGCGGUGGGUACGGGCAGACUAGAGUGAUGUAGGGGAGACUGGAAUUCCUGGUGUAGCGGUGAAAUGCGCAGAUAUCAGGAGGAACACCGAUGGCGAAGGCAGGUCUCUGGGCAUUAACUGACGCUGAGGAGCGAAAGCAUGGGGAGCGAACAGG